UACGUAGGGUGCAAGCGUUAAUCGGAAUUACUGGGCGUAAAGCGCACGUAGGCGGUUUUUUAAGUCAGAUGUGAAAGCCCCGGGCUCAACCUGGGAACUGCAUUUGUGACUGCAAGGCUAGAGUACGGCAGAGGGGGAUGGAAUUCCGCGUGUAGCAGUGGAAUGCGUAGAUAUGCGGAGGAACACCAAUGGCGAAGGCAAUCCCCUGGGCCUGUACUGACGCUCAUGCACGAAAGCGUGGGGAGCAAACAGG
rnacentral:rRNA from 1 species